GACGAACGCUGGCGGCGUGCUUAACACAUGCAAGUCGAACGGAAAGGCCCAGCUUGCUGGGUGCUCGAGUGGCGAACGGGUGAGUAACACGUGGGUGAUCUGCCCCUAACUUCGGGAUAAGCUUGGGAAACUGGGUCUAAUACCGGAUAGGACAAUCGUUUAGUGUCGGUUGUGGAAAGUUUUUUCGGUUAGGGAUGAGCCCGCGGCCUAUCAGCUUGUUGGUGGGGUAAUGGCCUACCAAGGCGUCGACGGGUAGCCGGCCUGAGAGGGUGGACGGCCACAUUGGGACUGAGAUACGGCCCAGACUCCUACGGGAGGCAGCAGUGGGGAAUAUUGCACAAUGGGCGCAAGCCUGAUGCAGCAACGCCGCGUGCGGGAUGACGGCCUUCGGGUUGUAAACCGCUUUUAGUAGGGAAGAAGCCUUCGGGUGACGGUACCUGCAGAAAAAGGACCGGCUAACUACGUGCCAGCCGCCGCGGUAAAAC
rnacentral:rRNA from 1 species